rnacentral:lncRNA from 1 species
UCUUCUUCUCUUUCUUCUUCUUCUUCUUCUUCUUCUUCUUCUUCUUCUUCUCCUCCUCCUUCUCCUUCUUCUCCUUCUCCUUCUUCUCCUCCUUUUUAUUUUUUCUCCUUCUCCUUUUUCUUCUACUAGUUUGUUCUUCUUCUAGUUUUAUUCUUCUUAUUCUAGUUUUAUUCUUCUUCUUCUAGUUUUACUCUUCUUCUUGUUCUAGCUUUCUUAUUCUCAUUUUAAAGAUAUCAUUCACCAUGGAA